rnacentral:rRNA from 1 species
AUUGAACGCUAGCGGCAUGCCUUACACAUGCAAGUCGAACGGCAGCACGGGGGCAACCCUGGUGGCGAGUGGCGAACGGGUGAGUAAUGCAUCGGAACGUGCCCAUCGAUGGGGGAGUAACUGCGCGAAAGCGUUGCUAAUACCGCAUACGACCUACGGGUGAAAGCAGGGGACCGCAAGGCCUUGCGUCGAUGGAGCGGCCGAUGCCGGAUUAGCUAGUUGGUGAGGUAAAGGCUCACCAAGGCGACGAUCCGUAGCUGGUCUGAGAGGACGACCAGCCACACUGGGACUGAGACACGGCCCAGACUCCUACGGGAGGCAGCAGUGGGAAUCUUGGACAAUGGGCGAAAGCCUGAUCCAGCAAUGCCGCGUGUGGAGAAGGCUCGGUUGUAACCACUUUGCGGAAGAAAUGGUCUGUGCUAAUACCACGGAUUGAUGACGGUACCCGCAGAAUAGCACCGGCUAACUACGUG